CAGCAGCCGCCGCGGUAAUACAGAGGGUGCGAGCGUUAAUCGGAUUUACUGGGCGUAAAGCGUGCGUAGGCGGCUUCUUAAGUCGGAUGUGAAAUCCCUGAGCUUAACUUAGGAAUUGCAUUCGAUACUGGGAAGCUAGAGUAUGGGAGAGGAUGGUAGAAUUCCAGGUGUAGCGGUGAAAUGCGUAGAGAUCUGGAGGAAUACCGAUGGCGAAGGCAGCCAUCUGGCCUAAUACUGACGCUGAGGUACGAAAGCAUGGGGAGCAAACAGGAUUAGAUACCCCUGUAGUCCCUGUCUCUUAUAA
rnacentral:rRNA from 1 species